UCAUCUACUGGCUGUACUGGGUAGACCAGAGGAACCAGGCUCUGAUGGGUGACCAGUCCUCUUCUGGCUCUGCCGGGUGGAGAUUAUAACAGAACAUGGUAAAGUUUUUCAAAUGUUCAUAGAUGAUCAGCAGGAGAUUGCAACAGAAUGUAUCACUAUCAGUACAUAGUAACUACUGUGAGUCAACAGUAGGUAGUAGGAAUAUUGGGACACAGCAGUGAGUCAACAGUAGGUAGUAGGAAUAUUGGGACACAGACAGUGAGUCAACAGCAGGUAGUAGGAAUAUUGGGACACCACCAGUGAGUCAACAGCAGGUAGUAGGAAUAUUGGGACACAGACAGUGAGUCAACAGCAGGUAGAAGGAAUAUUGGGACACAACCAGUGAGUCAACAGCAGGUAGUAGGAAUAUUGGGACACAGACAGUGAGUCAACAGCAGGUAGUAGGAAUAUUGGGACACAGGCAGUGAGUCAACAGUAUGUAGUAGGAAUAUUGGGACACCACCAGUGAGUCAACAGCAGUUAGUAGGAAUAUUGGGACACCACCAGUGAGUCAACAGCAGGUAGUAGGAAUAUUAGGACACAACAGUGAGUCAACAGUAGGAAUAUUGGGACACAGCCAGUGAGUCAACAGUAGGAAUAUUGGGACACCACCAGUGAGUCAACAGCAGGUAGUAGGAAUAUUGGGACAGACAGUGAGUCAACAGUAGGAAU